UUGACAUCCAGAGAACUUAGCAGAGAUGUUUUGGUGCCUUCGGGAACUNUGAGACAGGUGCUGCAUGGCUGUCGUCAGCUCGUGUUGUGAAAUGUUGGGUUAAGUCCCGCAACGAGCGCAACCCUUAUCCUUUGUUGCCAGCGGUCCGGNCGGGAACUCAAAGGAGACUGCCAGUGAUAAACUGGAGGAAGGUGGGGAUGACGUCAAGUCAUCAUGGCCCUNNCGAGUAGGGCUACACACGUGCUACAAUGGCGUAUACAAAGAGAAGCGACCUNANGAGAGCAAGCGGACCUCAUAAAGUACGUCGUAGUCCGGAUUGGAGUCUGCAACUCCUUUGGGAUGAAAUCGGAAUC
rnacentral:rRNA from 1 species